rnacentral:lncRNA from 1 species
UCUCUGUUAUUUCAUUUGUUGUUUGCAUCAGAGAAAAGCAAAGGAUAUAAAAUAGCCACACUUAAGCCUAAUGAAGUAAUCGCAUGAAGGGCUUGUAAGAUAAUUGAAGGAUAUUAUUUCUUUUUGUACAGAUUUGAAUGAUUCCACCACCGAAUCCCCUCAAAGCCUCAGGAAUGCCACGCGCUCCUCUGAGAAUACAACCCUGGUGCAUCGUAACCUGUCCUUCAGCAUCACAGACCAGCCAAUAUCAGUUACCAGAGGGAACGUUUUCUUUACUACCAGCAGUCUGCUCAAUAGUACUGGUGGCACGAAGAACACAAAAGCCAGUCGCUUCCCUUGGCCGACAGUGGUAGCCGUCCUGCUCCUCUUCUGCAGUUUACUAAUAGCUUUAGGCAUCAGGAAAUGGUGUCAGUACCAGAAAGAGAUUAUGAACAGACCUCCAUCUUUCAAGCCACCACCACCCCCGAUAAAGUACGCCUCCAUGGUGGAGUCUGAUGGGACCCCCCCGUCCUGCCACGAACUGGAGAACCUGUAACAGCUUACACCCCUUGUGCAGCGCGCAGAAGACUGACACCGUUAAAAGGCUCUGUGUUUGAAACCGUGAUUACAGAAGUUUGGUGUUAAUGACCCAUAUUAAAUUCAGAGAGCCUAAAAUGACAUUAAUGUUGGAAGCUGAGCACUCCUGAGGACAUUUACUUCAUCCUGUCUGUCUCUAUGUAUGCAUUACGCUAACACCAUUGUGAGUGUCACCAGGAGAUUACACGUACUUAAUUUGAAUGGGGUGAUCAACUGGGAAUUUGCUGUCUUGUUAAUGGGAGCAGAUUAACACAUCACUCCGCCAGCCUGCCUGAAGAGUGUUGAAGCUUUUUGUUUUACUGAGUGUAUAGAGAGGACUGCUCUGCCGUAUGGAUGCCACAAUUACACGGGAAAGGUUCACUUAAUGUAAGGUUUUUCAUACCUGCAGGAGCCGUUCUUACAACGAAUAUUUUUUACUAUACACAUCUUGACUAAUAUGACCCAAUAUGUAAUUUCCUAUCACUGUGACACCAAACAAAAUUUAUCAGCACCUUACACAGAAGAAAAUACCCUGCAUCUGUCAUCACCGGGGUUGCAGCACAGGAUCACGGGGAGGGGCUGGUAAGAUGAAAGGGCACAGUGUGGGCCUGGUGGAUGUGUUCAUGAAGAAAAUUCAGUUGCCGUUGGCGAAGUCACGGGAACAAGUCAACUUUGGAUUCAUGUACAAACCGCCUGAGGACCAGAGACUUAAGGACUGAAGUGAAUAAAGACCCUAAAGAUAAUGGAAAAUGCCA